AAAACAAAUAGGUCAAAUUAUUGAUUUUAUAUAGCUUUAAUAUAGUUCAUAUUUAAAUAAAAAAAAUAAAUGUAAUUUGAGGCGAAUAUCAACUAAAUUUGGGUAUUGACAAGGGGCCCUACCAAUAAUCAAAUUUAACGCUCACUUUUAUAUUUAACUGAAUUCUACAUAUUUUAAAAUACCAAAAACCAAUUUAAUAAAUUCGGUUAAAUAAUUAAGUGAGCCUUAAAUUUGAUUAUUGGUAAGGCCCAAGAUGUCUUACGAUAAUUCAAAUCAAAGUGAUUUAACGGAACAAAACGCAUAAUUUUUUUCUUUCUGAAGUGCUUUUUGGGAUUCUAUUUGAAAGUCUUGUACGCUUGUGUCUUUUGAAGAUGCCGUCAAUUUUCUUUCGUAUGAUUUGUACAUACUUCUCCAACAUUGUGGACUUUGUGUAAGGCUCUGGAGUACAACUCGAAAUUACCUAAAUAGCGUAGAACUUGUUCUUUUUUUGGAGAAAAUUAAAACUUCGAUUAGAUAACAAAAACAAAAUUGUUUUAUUCUGUAA